rnacentral:rRNA from 1 species
GUAGUCAUACGCUCGUCUCAAAGAUUAAGCCAUGCAUGUGUAAGUAUAAAUAGUUAACUUUGUAACUGCGAAUGGCUCAUUAUAUCAGUUAUAGUUUAUUUGAUGAAGAAUACUAAUUGGAUAACCGUAGUAAUUCUAGAGCUAAUACAUGUAUAAAGUCUUGUAGACUGCAUUUAUUAGAAUGAAAACCAUAGGUUUCGGCCUAUUCGUGAGUAAUAAUAACUAAUCAUAUCGUAUGCUUAUGUAACGAG